rnacentral:rRNA from 1 species
ACGAAUUCCCCCUUAGAGUUUGAUCCAUGCGCUCAGGAUGAACGCUAGCUACAGGCUUAACACAUGCAAGUCGAGGGGAAACGAUAUUGGAAGCUUGCUUCCGAUAGGCGUCGACCGGCGCACGGGUGAGUAACGCGUAUCCAACCUGCCCACCACUUGGGGAUAACCUUGCGAAAGUAAGACUAAUACCCAAUGAUAUCUCUAGAAGACAUCUGAAGGAGAUUAAAGAUUUAUCGGUGAUGGAUGGGGAUGCGUCUGAUUAGCUUGUUGGCGGGGUAACGGCCCACCAAGGCGACGAUCAGUAGGGGUUCUGAGAGGAAGGUCCCCCACAUUGGGACUGAGACACGGUCCAAACUCCUACGGGAGGCAGCAGUGAGGAAUAUUGGUCAAUGGGCGAGAGCCUGAACCAGCCAAGUAGCGUGCAGGAUGACGGCCCUAUGGGUUGUAAACUGCUUUUAUAAGGGAAUAAAGUGAGUCUCGUGAGACUUUUUGCAUGUACCUUAUGAAUAAGGACCGGCUAAUUCCGUGCCAGCAGCCGCGGUAAUACGGAAGGUCCGGGCGUUAUCCGGAUUUAUUGGGUUUAAAGGGAGCGUAGGCCGGAGAUUAAGCGUGUUGUGAAAUGUAGACGCUCAACGUCUGCACUGCAGCGCGAACUGGUUUCCUUGAGUACGCACAAAGUGGGCGGAAUUCGUGGUGUAGCGGUGAAAUGCUUAGAUAUCACGAAGAACUCCGAUUGCGAAGGCAGCUCACUGGAGCGCAACUGACGCUGAAGCUCGAAAGUGCGGGUAUCGAACAGGAUUAGAUACCCUGGUAGUCCGCACGGUAAACGAUGGAUGCCCGCUGUUGGUCUGAAUAGGUCAGCGGCCAAGCGAAAGCAUUAAGCAUCCCACCUGGGGAGUACGCCGGCAACGGUGAAACUCAAAGGACAUUGACGGAAGGGCGAAUCGCG